UCUUAUUAUUUAAAAAGUGACCUCCUAUUCACGUGGAGGAAGCCUAAAAGGUCAUUAACUUGGUCUACACAAGCUACCAAAGAACAUGGCAUCCAUGAAAGAGAAAAAUGAAAGAACGAAAGGAUAGUUGAAGUACUGAGGAAGAAAUCACUAAGAAGUUUGUUAAAAGAUGAUAAUAAUAUGAAGUGAUAU